rnacentral:lncRNA from 1 species
CUCUCCCUCCCCUCUUCAUGUCCAAGAGGUUGGGCAUCCAUCUGGUGCUUGUCCAAGGCAUGGUGGCUCUCUGAUUAGAAGGCUGCAGAGAUUUAUCGAGAAGGCAAUGUGAUUAUUAUGUGCCUGCAGCAAGCAAAAAUUUGAUUUCUGUUUCAUAUUUAGCACAAGAAGGCUAUGUGAUUAGCUUUCAUAAGAACCAUUGUAACAUAUUUUAU